GAUGAACGCUGGCGGCGUGCCUAAUACAUGCAAGUCGAGCGAACAGAUGAGGAGCUUGCUCCUCUGACGUUAGCGGCGGACGGGUGAGUAACACGUGGAUAACCUACCUAUAAGACUGGGAUAACUUCGGGAAACCGGAGCUAAUACCGGAUAAUAUAUUGAACCGCAUGGUUCAAUAGUGAAAGACGGUUUUGCUGUCACUUAUAGAUGGAUCCGCGCCGCAUUAGCUAGUUGGUAAGGUAACGGCUUACCAAGGCAACGAUGCGUAGCCGACCUGAGAGGGUGAUCGGCCACACUGGAACUGAGACACGGUCCAGACUCCUACGGGAGGCAGCAGUAGGGAAUCUUCCGCAAUGGGCGAAAGCCUGACGGAGCUACGCCGCGUGAGUGGUGAAGGUCUUCGGAUCGUAAAACUCUGUUAUUAGGGAAGAACAAAUGUGUAAGUAACUAUGCACGUCUUGACGGUACCUAAUCAGAAAGCCACGGCUAACUACGUG
rnacentral:rRNA from 1 species